rnacentral:rRNA from 1 species
GUCGGGCGGUAACAGGGGGAAGCUUGCUUCUCUGCUGACGAGCGGCGGACGGGUGAGUAAUGUAUGGGGAUCUGCCUGAUGGCGGGGGAUAACUACUGGAAACGGUAGCUAAUACCGCAUAAUGUCUUCGGACCAAAGCGGGGGACCUCCGGGCCUCGCGCCAUCAGAUGAACCCAUAUGGGAUUAGCUAGUAGGUGAGGUAACGGCUUACCUAGGCGACGAUCCCUAGCUGGUCUGAGAGGAUGAUCAGCCACACUGGGACUGAGACACGG